GCUUACCAAAGAAGGUCAAUGGUUACCCGUUGUUUACAUUCGUCUUCUUCGGUACAGUCAUCUUUUUCGACAGACCGUAGCGUUUUUCGUUUCUUCAAGAUCCGAUUAGGUCAAACUCCAAUGGAGUUCUGAGAUAUUGUCUGUGUCAAAUAUUUGUGUAGAUCUCUGUGUCGGUUUCCUUAGUAUCUCCGACUCAUAGCCUAUAAUACGUUAUGGAAUUAAGUGGUUCAUCGCCAUCAACAGCCAUCUUUACUCCUUGGACCCACACCAUCCAUGAUAAACCUCACCUAUAAAAAGUCAGUGAGCUCGAUGCGAUUUCUAAUUACGGGGCAAGCUAUUGACGGAUACAGUGAACAAGAUGAUGAAAUCAGAUUUCUCGGUUUGUGGUAGUCUGAUCGACGAUGUGGUAGAUCGAAUAAAUGAUAUUGUUUCCUCCAUGGAUGUGUCUGAUGAACCCAAGUCGUGUCCUUUUGUUCUGGAAAGCACACAAAAUCUCGACUCUCGAUUGAAAAUUUGUGUCUUCUAAGGAAAUGCUCCAGAUGAUGAUGUAGACAUGUGAAACCAGUCAAAGAUUCUUGCUUCCAAUUCUGUGUGAAGUCUUUGAUGCGAAAAUAAAACGGUGGUUAUAAUAUAGAUGAAUUGACAAUACUAUGGAUUCUGAAUUCGUGUCUUUAUCGUCAGAAAUAUGAGGAUAAAGUUGUCUCAAGGAUGGAUCACAAAGGCGCCGUCAAUUGUCAAUACAGUUUGAGGAGAAAUUUGUCUCGAGUAUUAUGACAAGGCUCAUUGGGUUCUUUGGUAUCUUUGAAGAAAUUCUGGUAUUGUGCCGAUGAGCAGACAAGUCGAUGCAUCAGGUCUGGAAAAUCAACAUGGGGAAUUGCCUGAGAAUGAGUUGUUUCCCAGUUUCAAAACUCUUAAGUCCAGUCAGACUUCCAAGAGAGGCUUGGGAUGCUUCCGUUGAGUUCAUUGUUAGAAAUAUUAAGGGCCUUGAGAUUCUUUAAUUCCGACAAAGUCGCUGGUAAGUAGUAAUGGACCCGAGAAGUGGUUAAGUUAAGUUAGAGAUGAGUAAGGUUAUUGAUGUUGAUGAUUUAAGAAACUGGCUUUUGUUUCUCUGUAACAAAUAACUCUUUAGCUGAAGAAUAUUUGGAGAUUAAAAUUGUGUUAUAAUUGUAAAA